UGGGGAAUAUUGGACAAUGGGGGCAACCCUGAUCCAGCAAUGCCGCGUGUGUGAAGAAGGUCUUCGGAUUGUAAAGCACUUUCGACGGGGACGAUGAUGACGGUACCCGUAGAAGAAGCCCCGGCUAACUUCGUGCCAGCAGCCGCGGUAAUACGAAGGGGGCUAGCGUUGCUCGGAAUGACUGGGCGUAAAGGGCGUGUAGGCGGUUUACACAGUCAGAUGUGAAAUCCCCGGGCUUAACCUGGGAGCUGCAUUUGAUACGUGUAGACUAGAGUGUGAGAGAGGGUUGUGGAAUUCCCAGUGUAGAGGUGAAAUUCGUAGAUAUUGGGAAGAACACCGGUGG
rnacentral:rRNA from 1 species